rfam:Triticum aestivum genome assembly, contig: Triticum_aestivum_CS42_TGACv1_scaffold_345574_4DL
UAAAUACUCCCGCCGUCCAGAAAUACUUGUCCUAAAAAUGGAUAAAAUGGAUGUAUCUAUAACUAAAAUAAGUCUAGACACAUCCAUUUCUAGGACAAGUAUUUCCGGACGGAGGGAGUAUUUA